rnacentral:tRNA from 1 species
UGUAAAAAAAUGAAUGAUUCAUGUUGAUUUUUGAUAUCAAUUUAUAAAGUUUAAUUCUUUAUUUUACAA